CGCGGUAUUUUGACCGUGCGAAGGUAGCAUAAUCAUUAGUCUUUUAAUUGGAGGCUUGUAUGAAAGGUUGGACGAGAGGCUAGCUGUCUUUAUUAAAAAAAUAGAAUUUAACUUUUAAGUGAGAGGGCUUAAAUGUUCUAAAGGGACGAUAAGACCCUAUAAAGUUUGACAUCUUAUUAUUAGUAAGUAAAUUAAGUAGAUAAAAUUAAUUAGUAGAGUGUUGUUUUGUUGGGGUGACUGGAAUAUAAAUAAUAUAACUGUUUUAUAUCGGCACAAAAAUAUUUGAGGAGGGCUUUGAACCUUGUUAGAGAUAAGAGAAUAAAUUACUUUAGGGAUAACAGCGUAAUUUUUUUUGAGAGUUCGUAUCGACAAAAAAGUUUGCGACCUCGAUGUUGAAUUAAGGAUGCUUUAUGGCGCAGAAGUCAUAAGAGAAGGUCUGUUCGACCUUUAA
rnacentral:rRNA from 1 species